CCCGAAAGAUCGAAUGAAGAGAUUCAUCGUCAGUGUGGUUGGUUUACAUGUGUUUUGCGAUGACACGCAAACACUGUGUAUAUCUGAUUAUGCCGGCGUGCACUUCUCUUCUAGUAGAACGUUGCGACCCGUUGAGUGUUGGCCUAAGGAUCAAGCUAUUGACUGUUUUCAAUCGUUUAAACGCGUUUUGUUAACAGAUACUUGAAUUUCUGGCUAACUGCUUGACGGUACACACAAGGUAUUGAGCCGCAAUUUGAAUGCGUUCAGACUCGUUGCAAGCUUAGUCAUUAACCUGGAUGACGGACUUUGUGCCGAUUUUGGGAAUGAUUGGCUGUUGGUUGACGAUGUUCUCGAACAGGCUAAUACCGGUCGGCGACGCUAUUGCUUUGGGUACUUUCAGGACCCGUCUUGAAACACGGACCAAGGAGUCUAACAUGUGCGCGAGUCAUUGGGAAUUUUUUUAAACCUAAAGGCGCAUUGAAAGAAAAGAUCAAUCUUUGUGUUGAUUAAAGGAGGAUAAGCAAACAUAUAAUUUGCUUCGCACUCCUGGGGUGUCUCUUAAAGUCAUUAUGACUUGAGGCGCACCUAGAGCGUACACGUUGGGACCCGAAAGAUGGUGAACUAUGCCUGGUCAGGAUG
rnacentral:rRNA from 1 species